rnacentral:rRNA from 1 species
CAGCAGCCGCGGGAAUACAGAGGGUGCGAGCGUUAAUCGGAUUUACUGGGCGUAAAGCGUGCGUAGGCGGCUAAUUGAGUCGGAUGUGAAAUCCCCGAGCUUAACUUGGGAAUUGCAUUCGAUACUGGUUAGCUAGAGUGUGGGAGAGGAUGGUAGAAUUCCAGGUGUAGCGGUGAAAUGCGUAGAGAUCUGGAGGAAUACCGAUGGCGAAGGCAGCCAUCUGGCCUAACACUGACGCUGAGGUACGAAAGCAUGGGGAGCAAACAGGAUUAGAUACCCGCGUAGUCCCUGUCUCUUAUAC